AUGCCUGCCCAGGAUGUUGCGAUCUUUAUUUUAAGAGCGAGGAAAGUCCGGGCACCGCAGAGCAGUGUGAUGGAUAACGUCCAUCCGGUGAGAGCCGAGGGAAAGUGCAACAGAGAAUAGACCGCCUUUUUAAGGUAAGGGUGAAACGGUGCGGUAAGAGCGCACCACUGGACUGGUGACAGGACAGGUAUGGUAAACCCCACACGGUGCAAGCGUAAAUAGGUCCCUAUAUACAAGUGGCUCGCUUGAAGGGACGGGUAACGUGCUAUACUUUAUUUGUAAAAGUAGAGACAGACGAAUAACAUCCCUAGACAAAACCCGGCUUAUCGGGCAGGCAAUUUU
rnacentral:RNase_P_RNA from 1 species